GCCGGGUGUGGUGGUGCACACCUGUAAUCCCAGUUACUUGGGAGGCUGAGGCAGGAGAAUCGCUUGAACCUGGGAGGCGGAGGUUGCAGUGAGCUGAGAUCACACCACUGCACUCCAGCCUGGGCGACAGUGCGAGACUCUGUCUCAA
rnacentral:sRNA from 1 species